rnacentral:rRNA from 1 species
AGAGUUUGAUCAUGGCUCAGAACGAACGCUGGCGGUACGCUUAACACAUGCAAGUCGAACGAGAAAGUCUCUUCGGGGACAAGUAGAGUGGCGCACGGGUGAGUAACGCGUAGAUAACCUGCCUUAAAGUCUGGGACAACCUCCUGAAAAGGGGGCUAAUACCGGAUAACACCUUACCUCGAGUGGGGUUUGGUUAAAAGAUUUAUCGCUUUAAGAUGGGUCUGCGCGCCAUUAGCUAGUAGGUGGGGUAAAGGCCCACCUAGGCGACGAUGGCUAGCGGGUCUGAGAGGAUGGUCCGCCACACUGGAACUGAGACACGGUCCAGACUCCUACGGGAGGCAGCAGUGGGGAAUUUUGCGCAAUGGGGGCAACCCUGACGCAGCGAUACCGCGUGAGUGAAGAAGGCCUUUGGGUCGUAAAGCUCUUUUCUAAGGGAAGAUAGUGACGGUACCUUAGGAAUAAGCGCCGGCUAACUCCGUGCCAGCAGCCGCGGUAAUACGGAGGGCGCGAGCGUUGUUCGGAUUUACUGGGCGUAAAGGGCGCGUAGGCGGCCUGGCAAGUUAAGGGUGAAAUCCCGGGGCUCAACCCCGGAACCGCUCUUAAAACUGUCAAGCUAGAGAUGGUCAGAGGCGGGUGGAAUUCCAGGUGUAGAGGUGAAAUUCGUAGAUAUCUGGAGGAACACCGGUGGCGAAGGCGGCCCGCUGGGGCCAUUCUGACGCUGAGGCGCGAAAGCGUGGGGAGCGAACGGGAUUAGAUACCCCGGUAGUCCACGCCGUAAACGAUGAGCACCAGCUGUUUGGGUAAACGACAACCCAAGUGGCGCAGCUAACGCGAUGAGUGCUCCGCCUGGGGAGUACGGUCGCAAGACUAAAACUCAAAGGAAUUGACGGGGGCCCGCACAAGCGGUGGAGCAUGUGGUUUAAUUCGACGCAACGCGAAGAACCUUACCUGGGUUUGACAUCCCCGGGCCGCCUUGGAAACAGGGUUUCCCCUUCGGGGGCCGGGUGACAGGUGCUGCAUGGCUGUCGUCAGCUCGUGUCGUGAGAUGUUGGGUUAAGUCCCGCAACGAGCGCAACCCUUGUCCUUAGUUGCCAGCGGUUCGGCCGGGAACUUUAAGGAGACUGCCGGUGUUAAGCCGGAGGAAGGUGGGGAUGACGUCAAGUCCUCAUGGCCUUUAUAUCCAGGGCUACACACGUGCUACAAUGGCGCCUACAAAGAGCCGCGAGACCGCGAGGUGGAGCGAAUCUCAAAAAAGGCGUCUCAGUUCGGAUCGCGGUCUGCAACUCGACCGCGUGAAGUUGGAAUCGCUAGUAAUCGUGGAUCAGCGCGCCACGGUGAAUACGUUCCCGGGCCUUGUACACACCGCCCGUCACACCAUGGGAGUUGACAUUGGCAGAAUACGUUGGGCUAACUUUCGAGGCAGGCGUAGAAGCUAGUGUUGAUGACUGGGGUGAAGUCGUAACAAGGUAACCCUAA